rnacentral:lncRNA from 1 species
UUCAUACUCCAGUAGCAAAAGUUUCAGUUAAGUAAAAUAGAGAGAAUGAGAAGAUGAUGAAGAAGAAUGAAGGAAAAAGAAAUGAAAACUAAAAAAGGUAAACUCAAAACCUUUGUUAAUCUUUGAUUUUCAUAUAUAGUUAUUACGUUUUAUGAAAUUUAUGGAAAGAUGACAUGUUUUGCUUAUUAAUUUAUGAUGGAUUAAACUUGCAUAACAUAAUCAAAUGAGAGAAAUCAACAAAUCAAAUAAAAAAUGAAAUCUAAAAAUUUCAUAAAAAUUAGUUUGCUACCAUGUUUUUGUAAAGUCCAUAUUCAACUAUUUUUGUAUAAUGAGUUAGGAGAUGAGUCUUAUAUUAAAAGAAAGCCCUGGAAUUAAGUAAGCUAAACACAUAAAUUAGAAUCACCCAAAAAUUCCUUAUGGAUUGUUCGUGGAGACUGCUUGAAUGAAACUGGUUUGAAAGACUUAUAAUCCGCUAAAAUCUAAAAAAUUAGUUUUCUUAAGCUCUAUUGCGUGAGUUAUAAUUCUUAAUCUGACCUUUGGAUCGUUACGAUUUAUGGAUAUGUUAUACAUACAUAAGCUGAGAAUAUGUUCACCAAAUUUGAACCGUUAAAGAUUAAUGUAUGAUUUGUUAUGAAUUUUAAGAGGUAACUGAUUUAGAAUUUUUAUAACAAAAUUUUCAGCAACGUGCUUUAAUGUUUAAAAAUAUAUAAAUUAAUAAUUUUAAAUCUGAAUUGGGUGUUUCUUGAGGUUAAAUUAGAGUAUUUGAAGUCUAAUUUCUAUUAAAAUUUAUUAAUUUGAUAAAUAAAUUUUAGUUAAUGGAGAUAAUGUCAAAAUAGUAGACUGACAUUUUUAAAAUAAAUUGUCAUAUUUGGGUCUUAAGAUUUCUUAAGUUUUGUUAUUCUCUUUUAAAGUUUUGGAAUAUAAAUAGUAAUUUCAGGUGAUAAAUAAAGGCACCUUGAAUGAAUUAUGAAUGAUUAGUUGGUUUAUAUGUUAUUCGAGGUAAAUAUGUUUUAGUGUUGAUCCCGAUUUUUAAUAGAAUUUAAAUUAUUUAUAGUAAGGUGUUAAUUUAUUAAAUGAUAUAGUAAUGAGUGUUAUGUGUAAAUUAUAUGAAGUGAACAGUUUGUCAGGAAAUAUUCAUUUUAUCGGAGAAUAUUCCUUUUGUCAGGGAAUAUUCGUACGACAACGCCGAAAUAACCAAUCAUUUAACUGUAUAUAGAAAGCGACAGAAAUAAUCUUUUUAAAAAUUGACGGCAAAACUUUUACCGUUAACUGUUUAAAUACCCGGUGAUAAAAGUACAAUAAUACGCAUUAGUCCACAAUAGUAUGCGAUAUUGCACAGUAACAAUAUAUCUGAUUAGGUCUGUUAGCCUCAUUUACUUCAGUUUGACACUCCGCCAAAUCUUCUUGCUUUGUCUGCCCAGUUUCAUCAAUAGUUUCCCCAGGAAUAUGAGAUACUCCACCUCCUUAUUUUUCCCUUUUAUCAUGUUCAGUUACUUUGCGGAAGGGCUCAACAAUCCCCACUCUAAUAUUUAAAAAAGAGUGAGGAUUGUUGGAGAUAUUUUAUUAUUAUUUUUAUAAUUAUGAAUAUUAUUAAUUAUAUGUUAUAAUUUUCAUGAGAAUUACAAAAGAAUUUAAGUGGUUUUAUUUGCAUUAAAAAUUUAAAGAAUAACAUUCAUUCAUUAAUUGUGAUGGAGUUAUAUUUCUAAAAUUUAAUCCUGAAUAUGAUAGUGCUUUACCGUUGCUUGAUUGCAUGUAUAUAUAGAAGAUGUACUUGGUAGGUUAAAGAUUGUUGAAAAUUUGUGGAAGAUGAUAAAUUAUAGAAGUGAAAUAUAACUUUGAAGAACACUUAAAGAAUAUUUUGAUUUCACUUACUUCAAAAUCAGGCUAUUAAUAGGACUCCUAGGAUUCUUAUAGAGUCACAUUAAUAAUUACUACAUGACCAUAUUCAUACAUGAAUCUAACCAUUACAUGUUCCAAGACAUUUCAAAUACAUUCAUGUAUAUGUAUUACCUAUUCAUGUAUUAAAUUAAUUCAUGAACAUUCUAGAAUUAAUUUGGUUUAGUUAACAAGGCCUCCCGUAAACUAAAUUUAUUCUUCACAAUGUCGUAAAACCUUUUUGUAAGACCCUAACUUUUUAAAUAAAGAUAAUUUUUCUAUAAAUAUUAUUUUUAAAUAUUAUGGAAUGAAUUUGAUAUAAUGUUAUAGUUGUGGGUAAUAUUUAUAAAUUUUAUAAAGUACGCAAGUUGUUAUAAAAUAUUCGUUUGGUCGGAAAAUAUUCUUUUUGUCAGGGAAUAUUCAUACGAUGACACAAUCAUUGGUGGACCACACAGCGGAAUUAUUGUCGGAGUUAAAAAAUGACAAAAAUAUUUUUAUGAAAAUAACGGCGGAAGAGUUACCGUUAACACUGUUGGAAUACCUGGUGGUUAAAAUACAGUAACACGCGUUGUUGCACAGUAGCACACGGUAUUGCAUAGUAUUUUUUGAAUUAUUGAUUCUUACGUAAGAAGGCACUACUCAAUAAUUGUUACAAUAAUUACUGUUUAAUAUUUUAUUAAUUCAAUAAUUGCUACGUUGAUAUUUUUGAUUCAAUAAUUGUCAUUACACAGUAUUUCAA